UUGGUGUGAAUUGCAGAAUCCCGUGAACCAUCGAGUCUUUGAACGCAAGUUGCGCCCGAUGCCACUAGGCUGAGGGCACGUCUGCCUGGGCGACACGU
rnacentral:rRNA from 1 species